UCAAGUGUCAUAAGGGCAUUUUGUGGAUGCCUUGGCGUGUAGAGGCGAUGAAGGACGUAGUACGCUGCGAUAAGCCGCGGGGAGUUGCGAACAAACUUUGAUCCGUGGAUUUCCGAAUGGGGAAACCCGGCCCUUUUGGGUCAUCGUGCGCUGAAUUCAUAGGCGUAUGAAGCAAACCCGGGGAACUGAAACAUCUCAGUACCCGGAGGAAAGGACAUCAACCGAGACUCCGUUAGUAGUGGCGAGCGAACGCGGACCAGGCCAGUGGCCAACGUGUAAGAACCGGAAACGGCUGGAAAGCCGUGCCAUAGAGGGUGAUAGCCCCGUAUGGGUAGAAAGCAUGUUGGUCCUCGAGUAGGACGGGACACGUGAAAUCCUGUCUGAACGUGGGGGGACCACCCUCCAAGCCUAAGUACUCCUACACGACCGAUAGCGAACAAGUACCGUGAGGGAAAGGUGAAAAGGACCCCGACGAGGGGAGUGAAAUAGACCCUGAAACAGAAUGCCUACAAGCAGUCGGAGCCUCUUUAUGGGGUGACGGCGUACCUUUUGUAUAAUGGGUCAGCGAGUUAGUCUCUCGAGCAAGCUUAAGCCGUUAGGUGAAGGCGCAGCGAAAGCGAGUCUGAAAUAGGCGUUUUAGUUCGUUGGAUUAGACCCGAAACCGGGUGAUCUAGCCAUGGGCAGGUUGAAGGUGGGGUAACACCUACUGGAGGACCGAACCCACCUAUGUUGAAAAAUGGGGGGAUGACCUGUGGCUAGGGGUGAAAGGCCAAUCAAACCCGGAAAUAGCUGGUUCUCCGCGAAAACUAUUUAGGUAGUGCGUCGUGUGAAUACCAACGGGGGUAGAGCACUGGAUGGGCUCGGGGGACGCGAGUCUUACCAAACCUAACCAAACUCCGAAUACCGUUGAGUAAUGCGCGGCAGACAGACUGUGGGUGCUAAGGUUCAUAGUCGAAAGGGAAACAGCCCAGACCGCCAGCUAAGGUCCCUAAGUUAUGGCUAAGUGGAAAAGGAAGUGAGAAGGCCAAGACAACCAGGAGGUUGGCUUAGAAGCAGCCAUCCUUUAAAGAAAGCGUAACAGCUCACUGGUCUAGAUUUAAGCCAUCUCGCGCCGAAGAUGUACCGGGGCUCAAGCCAUACACCGAAGCUGCGGACGCAUGCUUGCAUGCGUGGUAGCGGAGCGUUCCGUAAGCCUGUGAAGGUGUGCUGCGAAGCAUGCUGGAGGUAUCGGAAGUGAGAAUGCUGACAUGAGUAGCGAUAAACAGUGUGAAAAACACUGUCGCCGAAAGUCCAAGGGUUCCUGUGCAAGGCUAAUCCGCGCAGGGUGAGUCGGCCCCUAAGGCGAGGGCGAAAGCCGUAGUCGAUGGGAAUCAGGUUAAUAUUCCUGAACCUGCUGGUGGUGACGAAUGCCGUAAGUUGUUCUUCCUUAUUGGAUUGGAAGGGCUGCGAAGGCGUUCCAGGAAAUAGCCCCAGCAUUAUAGACCGUACCCGAAACCGACACAGGUGGACAGGUAGAGAAUACCAAGGCGCUUGAGAGAACGGUGUUGAAGGAACUCGGCAAAAUUCCCCCGUAACUUCGGGAUAAGGGGGCCCUGUAUCCGGGCAACCGGAUACGGGGGGCACAGACUAGGGGGUGGCGACUGUUUACUAAAAACGUAGGGCUCUGCGAAGUCGCAAGACGACGUAUAGGGUCUGACGCCUGCCCGGUGCCGGAAGGUUAAGGAGAAGGGUGAGAGCUCUGAACCGAAGCCCCGGUAAACGGCGGCCGUAACUAUAACGGUCCUAAGGUAGCGAAAUUCCUUGUCGGGUAAGUUCCGACCUGCACGAAUGGCGUAACGACUUCCCC
rnacentral:rRNA from 1 species